GCUGACGUCGGUCUAGCAGUGGCGGGAAGGAGUAGGGGGGCGGGGUGGUGCGGAGGGACUGGGGGUAAAGGGCGCGGAGGGGUGGCGGUAAGAGCGGGGGGGAAGCCCCCGGGUCGACCGGGGAGGGUCGUUGGUGACGGCCGGGCUGGAAGGCAGCAGGGGUGAGUGGAAUUCCCGGUGUAGUGGUGAAAGGCGUAGAGAUCGGGAGGAACACCCGUGGCGAAGGCGGCGCACUGGGCUGACCUUGACGCUGAGGCGCGAAGGCGUGGGGAGCGAACGGGAUUAGAUACCCCUGUAGUC
rnacentral:rRNA from 1 species